rnacentral:lncRNA from 1 species
GCACGUGCUGAGCAUGCCAGAACCACCUGUGCCACUCCACAGAACCACCUGCCGGUCACGCCAAAAUCACCUGCCGGCUACGCCAGAACCACUUGGCAAACACUCCGGAAUCACAUGCAGGGCAUGCCGGAACCACCUCUCAGCCAUGCCAGUACCAUGUGCCAGAGACACCGGAUGCACCUGCCGAGCACGCCAGAACCUCCUGCUCGACUCGCCGGAACCACCUGCCAGAGUUGCCAAAAUCACCUGCCGGCUAGGCCAGAACCACGUGGCGCAAUCUAUGAAAUCACAUGCUGGGCAUGCUGGAACGACCUCUCAGACGUGCCGGAAGCACGUGUGGGACACGCCGGAAGCACCUAAUGGACAGACCGGAACCUCCUGGAGGACCCGCCUGAAAGACCUGCUUAGCACUCCGGAACAACCUGCUCGACUCAUUCGAGCCACCUGCUGGAAAUGCCAAAAUCACCAGCCGGCUAUGCCAGAACCACUUGACGGACACUCCGGAAUCACCUGCAGGGCAUGCCGGAACCACCUGUCAGACGUGCCGGAACCACGUGCCGCACACGCCGGAACCAACUCCUGGACAGACCAGAACCACCUACCGGACCUGCCUGAACCACCUGCCAAGCAUGAGGGAACCACCUGCCGGACACGCCAAAAUCACCUGCCAGGUAUACCAGAACCACUUGGUGGACACUCCGGAAUCAUCUGCCGGACAUACCAGAACCAGCUCUCAGACACACCAGAACCACGUGCCAGAGACGCCGGAAGCACCUCCAGAGCAUGCCUGAGCCACCUGCUCGACUCGCAAGAAACACCUGUCGGACACGUCAAAAUCACCUGCCGGGUAUGCCAGAACCACUUGGUGGACACUCCAGAAUCAUCUGCCGGACAUGCCAGAACCAGAUCUCAGACACACCAGAACCACGUGCCGGACACGCCGGAAGCACCUGAUGAGCAUGCCUGAGCCACAUGCUCGACUUGCAAGAAACACCUGUCAGACACGCCAAAGUCACCUGCCGGGUACGCCAGAACCACGUGGCGGACACUCCGGAAUCACCUGUCGGGCAUGCCAGAACCACCUCUCAGACGUGCCAGAACCUCGUGCCGNNNNNNNNNNNNNNNNNNN